GGCCGCGGGAAUUCGAUUUGGAGGGCAAGUCUGGUGCCUUGGAGGGCAAGUCUGGUGCCUUGGAGGGCAAGUCUGGUGCCUUGGAGGGCAAGUCUGGUGCCUUGGAGGGCAAGUCUGGUGCCGCGCGAAAACUAUGAGGGCUUGCGCAAUUCCCGAAAUCGCAAGAUCGACGGCGAUUGGGAAUUUGCCCCACAGCGAGGCACGCCCUACGGGAUGAUGCGGCGCAUCUUACUAGCUCCGAAUCGCGUCCCCUGUACCCCUCCGCCAUGGGGCACUCUCCUGGCGAUUUCAGUAAACACGGGAGAGAAGAAGUGGGAAGUUCCGCUGGGGCAGUUCAGUCCCAAACUAUCUGCCCAAUGGGGCUCGCUCUCCUUGGGUGGACCUAUUUCGACCGCGGGCGGCCUGGUGUUCACAGGCGGAACAUUGCUACCGGCGCUUUAUGCCUUCGGCGCCUUAC
rnacentral:rRNA from 1 species